GUGGGGAAUUUUGGACAAUGGGCGAAAGCCUGAUCCAGCCAUGCCGCGUGCAGGAUGAAGGCCUUCGGGUUGUAAACUGCUUUUGUACGGAACGAAAAGACUCCUUCUAAUAAAGGGGGUCCAUGACGGUACCGUAAGAAUAAGCACCGGCUAACUACGUGCCAGCAGCCGCGGUAAUACGUAGGGUGCAAGCGUUAAUCGGAAUUAAUGGGCGUAAAGCGUGCGCAGGCGGUUAUAUAAGACAGAUGUGCAAUCCCCGGGCGCAACCUGGGAACUGCAUUUGUGACUGUAGAGCUAGAGUACGGUAGAAGGGGAUGGAAUUCCGCGUGUAGCAGUGAAAUGCGUAGAUAUGCGGAGGAACACCGAUGGCGAAGGCAAUCCCCUGGACCUGUACUGACGCUCAUGCACGAAAGCGUGGGGAGCAAACAGGAUUAGAUACCCUUGUAGUCC
rnacentral:rRNA from 1 species